AGCUCACACAGAGCUUUCCCACAGGGAGGAAUGUGCUGGCCAAGCUGACGAACAUCCAGCCUACUGGACACUUGGGGGCUAACUAUAAAGGAGUAAUUUGACCCAGAAAGGGACUGCACUGACCAGCUGACACUGACAUCUGCCCCCACUGCUGCUCCUUCCUCGCUGCACUCAAGCACACUGGCAUUUGGGUUUGCCUCUGUCUCUCGUGAAUUAGGUUACUGUGAGUCAGUCCUCCAGAGCCUCAGCACUUCUAGGGCACAGACCAGAUCACAUUUCUGGGCCUACAAGGCCAGGAGUGAGGUGCUGGGCUGGGCUGCAGGAACCUCAGCCAAGCCCUGCUUCCCUGGGGCCCAACUGGGCCUAGCUGGUCUCUGCUGGGGAGCCCUCAGUCAAAUCUCUGUCAAACCACAACAGUGACAAGUUUACAACACUCAACCAGAAACCUCUGCAGGGCUGAGACCCAAGUUUGCAUCCACUGCUGCAUGGAUGCUCACACACCAGAAAAUCAGCUGUGUUACAGAAAGCACCAGCAUCUCCACUUCCCAAUGCGAAAGAAAGGGAACCCUGUGUUUAAAAAUUAGGAACAAAAAGAACUGGGCCAUCGUCAAUGGAUGCUGCUACAAGUCUUUUGUACACACGGUCCAAAGGCAGAAGUGAGUUGCCUCCGCUCUUGAAUGUCUGCAGGAUGUCUGGGCCUCAGGCUGGAAGCAGCCCCACGCACGUGGCAGGCACAUCCCAGAGCCCACCGCACUGUGACCACGAGGUCUGAAGAGCCCCUGUGGGCACAGCGGUGGGCUGCGGGCUCGGGGGCCUCACAGGCUGGCUGUGUCCUGGUACCAACUCAUGCUUUGAGUCUCACAUCCUCUUCUCUAAAACAGGGGUACCCAGAUCACCCAUCCGGUGGGCUCAGCCUUUGCAAAACCUAGGCUACCUCAUCUGCUGUGAGAAUUCAGCUGGCUUCUGCACCCUGGCCCUUCUGCCUGGAGCUCUCCUCCCAGCCUCCUCUCCUGGGCCAGUGCCGCCAUCCUGAGUCUCACCUUGAACCUGAAUCUCUUGGGGCUGCCUUGCCUAACUCCCAGACUGAGAUAAAGCCCUCAUUAUACCCUCACCUCCCGUCCUCUGCCAGAGACCAAACGCUCCCUGGAUUAUUUAUAGAUGGGCCCACCUGAACAAUCCAAGGGCUUCGUGGAGAAAUGGCCGAUCCUAGAUCUGGAGAAGAAGUGUUCCAGAUGAGUGUGGAGUAACAGACACACCACUCAGAAAUAAGGCACCAAGCGCUGCUGGGAUCCCAUUAGAAAGACCCAGAGACACCCUGAGGUUCCCUGCUGGUCAGUAUAAGACAACCUGAGCUUCAGUAAGGAUAUGAACUGCAGUGGGUGGAAAUUCAUUCAAUAUAUUUAAAUCUACAUGUUCAUGAUAAUUCAAAACAAACAAAACCCUACUGGGUCACCUUUUGAGAAUGAGAACGAAUCCAUUUAUAAUAUUCAGAAUUUAGUAAAUUCUGGGUAAAAGGAAAGAGUCAAUUAUUUAUCUUCCCUUUCAUAUGGGAACUGUACAAAUGAUCACAGGAGUGCAUCUCUACGUCAACUUACUUCCACUCAUAAAAUGAAAACGCAAUGAGAGAAUUAGAAUAUCACGAUCCUGCAGCUCUCAAUUAAUGGAAGUAAUUAAUGGAAAAACAUUAAGCAUUGAUGGCUGUUAACAGCAAAACAGAGUGAAAAACAAGGAAGAACCUAGAAAGGAAAAAAAAAUCAGAACUCUUUUCAGUAGGCAGGUAACACACAAAUUCUGGAAAAGCUCACAAUAAUAAUAGUAUUUCCAGCAGAUACUCAGGUGUGUGAAAACAAACCUGUACAGGUCUAAAUGAUAUACUAACAUUUCAAUGAGGCAAAUUAACUCGUCUCAUGCCUUGUAAACAGAACUUUUCAAUAACCAAAAAGGAAAUAAAAACUCUAAAUUCA